GAAGCCGGAAUUGCUAGUAAUGGCAGGUCAGCAUACUGCCGUGAAUACGUUCCCGGGCCUUGUACACACCGCCCGUCACACCAUGAGAGUUGGGGAUACCCGAAGCCUGUGAGCCAACAGUUAAAUGAGGCAGCAGUCGAAGGUAGAAUUAAUGAUUGGGGUGAAGUCGUAACAAGGUAAC
rnacentral:rRNA from 1 species